rnacentral:rRNA from 1 species
GUGGGGAAUCUUCCGCAAUGGACGAAAGUCUGACGGAGCGACGCCGCGUGAGUGAAGAAGGCCUUCGGGUCGUAAAGCUCUGUCAUCAGGGACGAACGGCCGGUGGAGUGGAAAGCCACCGGAUUGACGGUACCUGAGAAGGAAGCCACGGCUAACUACGUGCCAGCAGCCGCGUAAUACGUAGGUGGCAAGCGUUGUCCGGAAUUAUUGGGCGUAAAGCGCGCGCAGGUGGGAUCUUAAGUCCAUUUUUAAAGUUCGGAGCUCAACUCCGUGAUGGGAUGGAAACUGGGAUUCUUGAGUACCGGAGAGGAAAGCGGAAUUCCCCGUGUAGCGGUGAAAUGCGUAGAUAUGGGGAGGAACACCAGUGGCGAAGGCGGCUUUCUGGACGGUGUCUGACACUGAGGCGCGAAAGCCAGGGGAGCGAACGGGAUUAGAUACCCUUGUAGUC